CCUGUCAUUCAGCUGACAAGCCCACCGACACAUGCGAGAGGAGUAAUUCUCUGGUGUGGAGCUGUCGGAAAAGUACCCGCGGGAAAUCUCAUAGGCCAAACCGUGAGGUGAAGCCGACACUGCCAGCAACAAGGCCCUAAGGGGC
rfam:Acidithrix ferrooxidans strain Py-F3 AXFE_contig000126, whole genome shotgun sequence.